rnacentral:ncRNA from 1 species
UAACGGCAAAGCUGCUGAAAGGCAGUGACGCAAAACUAGAGGGGCUAAACUGAACGCAAUCUCACCACUCAGACGCUUCAAAGUUCAGCAUUUGUCAGCCAGUUGCC